rnacentral:lncRNA from 1 species
UUGUUGUGAAAAAUUAGUUUGGUUCGGUUUCAAAUUUUUAUUGUGAAAGGGGAGUCGGCCACGCGCUGGAACGGAAGCGCGCGCUCGCAAGUAGUUCACCCCGUGGUCACGAGCGAGCGCUGACACAGCGGUGAGGAGGAGGACAUGUCAACCAGGUGGUACCGAGACCCGAGCGGGGAUCGGAACCGAAGAGAGGAGCCCAUGGACGGGCAGGCGGGGCGGCGCAGACAGAGCGGCACCGGAAACCGAACCUCCACGGCUCGAUCUUUCUCCAAAGAUUCACUGAAGAGGAGUCUGUCGGGAUGCGAGGAUAAUUUUCCAACAGGUGAUCAUUCAUGUUUGUGCUGGGAAGAACGUGCGUGAAGAUAAAAAAAAAAAAAAUGUCCAUUGAUGUUUGUUUGUGUAGGAUCUCUGGUCCUGAAGCUGUGGAACAAAACUUAUCCUCCAACAUUAUUUUAACCGAUCUUUAGUUUCAAAGUUUGACCAAACAUCUCCUCUUUCUGGUGGAG